rnacentral:rRNA from 1 species
UACGUAUGGUGCAAGCGUUAUCCGGAAUUACUGGGUGUAAAGGGAGCGUAGACGGUUAAUCAAGCCAGAUGUGAAAGCUAUGGGCUCAACCCAUGAACUGCAUUUGGAACUGAAUAACUAGAGUGCCGGAGGGGUAAGCGGAAUUCCUGGUGUAGCGGUGAAAUGCGUAGAUAUCAGGAGGAACACCGGUGGCGAAGGCGGCUUACUGGACGGCAACUGACGUUGAGGCUCGAAAGCGUGGGGAGCAAAC